rnacentral:rRNA from 1 species
UUCUGCGGAAUCCCUUCGGGGAGGAAGUAGUUAUGACUGAGUGGCGGACGGGUGAGUAACGCGUGGGCAACCUGCCCCAUACCGGGGGACAACAGCUGGAAACGGCUGCUAAUACCGCAUACGUUCCGGAAACCGCAUGGUUUCUGGAAGAAAACUCCGGUGGUAUGGGAUGGGCCCGCGUCUGAUUAGCUGGUUGGCGGGGUAACGGCCCACCAAGGCGACGAUCAGUAGCCGGCCUGAGAGGGCGGCCGGCCACAUUGGGACUGAGACACGGCCCAGACUCCUGCGGGAGGCAGCAGUGGGGAAUAUUGCACAAUGGGGGAAACCCUGAUGCAGCGACGCCGCGUGAGCGAGGAAGUACCUCGGUAUGUAAAGCUCUAUCAGCAGGGAAGAAAGUGACAGUACCUGACUAAGAAGCCCCGGCUAACUACGUGCCAGCAGCCGCGGUAAUACGUAGGGGGCAAGCGUUAUCCGGAUUCACUGGGCGUAAAGGGAGCGCAGGCGGCACGGCAAGUCUGAUGUGAAAACCCAGGGCUCAACCCUGGGACUGCAUUGGAAACUGCCGGGCUGGAGUGUCGGAGGGGUAAGCGGAAUUCCUAGUGUAGCGGUGAAAUGCGUAGAUAUUAGGAGGAACACCAGUGGCGAAGGCGGCUUACUGGACGACUACUGACGCUGAGGCUCGAAAGCGUGGGGAGCAAACAGGAUUAGAUACCCUGGUGGUCCACGCCGUANACGAUGAAUACCAGGUGUCGGCGGGCACGGCCNGCCGGUGCCGCAGCAAACGCAGUAAGU